rnacentral:lncRNA from 1 species
AUGUUGGUCCAGCCCACGGUGGGAGGGUCCGUACCAGGUCCUGCUAACAACACCAACAGCAGUAAAGAUUGCAGAAAGGACGACUUGGAUCUACCUCAGCCACUGCAAACUGCAGCCUACCUCUGUCUCAACUGGAUAGUGGGGAAGUCUGGGCUACAAAGGGGGCUCUGCUAUAUAGCGGCAGGGCCGUCUCAAACCCCAGUGAAGAAAACAACUGAUCCCUGUCCUAUUAGGAUGACAGAGAAAGGUGAUGCACCCUUUCAACCAGUGGAGGAAGAGGAGGAGGAAGGAAUCCCUCAAGACGAGUGGUUCAUCCACACCAAUCUGCAACGACGACGACCGCCCCCUAGAUGGAGCUGCACUCAAUGGUGCAUGAACCUCAGGGUGUUUCCUGUGGUACUGCUCCUCAUGAUCAUUGGAGGGGUGAUCUGGUUCCCCUGCAAACAAAACCAGACACCACUAAGAGGUAAACGGACGACUAAUAACUAUCUGCCACACGCUGAUUAUCCACAUGGGUUCGCCACAAACGAGUGGUGGCAGUUCAUGAAUACUACGGCCCAUCUGAACAACAAGACCAAUUGUUAUGUGUGCAAUCACAUGCCGGUGUCUACCAACUUCCCCGGCCUUUGGCCCUACCCUGUGGACGGAGACCGCACUGCAUGCCUGGUGGGACUGACCACACACCCUGGAGUGGGUGUUAAACCAUCUGAUGCUAAUUUCACCACGCCCUUCCAAAUCACCUGGUCCUCGGUGCCAGUGUUAGGCUCGGACUGCAUCCCAGGAGAGGACCUCCUAGGCUGGCCACAACUGACUGAACCUCUGCCCAGCCUGGUCCUUCUGAACCGUCUCGGGCCUGGAGACCUACCCAGCUGCUACUUAGGAAAUGGAAGGGUGAACGUGGGCUCCGUGCCAGAGCACCUCUGCGGGUCCGUAGCCACAUACUGCCCGGUAAAAAACUUCAAUGACUGCCUAAGUGUAAAGCUAACUACUUCUGCAGCUCUAACGCCACCGCCCGGCGGGCUGCAUGCUACAUGGACCAUUCCUACGCGAUGGAAGUUCCAGGACGAGGAAGCAAACUCGCCCAGUGCUCACGCAUCGGCCCAACCCAUCUCGGCACUCGCGUGGCAGCUGACUACUACUGGCUGUGUGGACACAAAGCAUAUCCUUCCCUGCCUCCACAGUGGGGAGGUUUAUGUGCUCUAG